UCCAGGUAUUGCUUCUACAAGCCCAGGAGUGCCAAAGGCUACCUGCAAACCUCCAGAAGCUAUGGGAGAGGCCUGGAGCUGAUUUUUCUCCACAGCCCUCAGAGGGAGCUGACCUGCAGAAAUUCCAAUUUCAGACUCUGGUUUCCAGGACUGUGAGAUGGUACUUCUGUGAGACUCUGUGACAGCCGCCCCAGGAAGCAAAUGCAUUUACUAAACAGGAGCAGUUCUUUGCUUUUCUCACUCGUGCUGUGUCCCUGAAGGAGGUGAUGGGCAGAGGAGAAAUUCAGGAGACAAGAAAAGACCAGAUGUCUCUACCUGGCAAAAAUGGGGAACACCUGAAAGAGGCUGGAAGAACAAGGAUGAGAGAGACCAACAAGGAGGAGGAAAGGGAUGUGGGGUGUCCCAGGAGAGGAGCCAAUGAGGAAGAGAAGGAGGCAUUUAAAGAGAACAUGAAGGAAGUUGUGUUGGGUGAUGUGUGACAUGCGUCCUUCUUGUCCUCCCAAGAAACCUUCAGCAAACACGCUGAUCUUCCACACUUGCCACAUUAGGACUGCAUGCCCUUGAGAGUGUGCAUAAGCUUGUGAGGGUGUGUGGAUAGCAGUGUGAGGCCAGUUCUGCAGCCUGUGCCAGAGCACAGUGACAUGAGCCUUGGCAAUUCCCAGUUGAGUGUUUGUGCAGCUCCUCAUGGGCUGGGCCCUUGUCCAGGUGCAAGAGCUACACAUGUCGAUGCCUUAGAUUAGAGCACUGGUCAAAGGAUGGAGCUGAUUUUUAGCAACAGAAUGUUUGCAUUUGGGUAUAUUUGUCUGAGGCCCCACAUGCCUCUAGAUCCAGGGUUUGGAGCUAAGAAAUCCAGGCUAGAGAGUUUGAGCCUCAACAAUGUGGAGAUAGCAUUUGAAGCCAUAGGGGUGGAUGGAACCAUCCUGAAGAAAAACAUGAAGUGAGGAGGGAAGAAGUAAUGUUUUCAUAGGCAACCAGAAAAGAGGGAUCUGAGGGCAAAAGACAGAAUGGUAGAUGAGGUAUGAGGGGAACCAAAGUCUAGCCUCCAAUAGCUAUGGGGAGCUUCCAUAGGAGCAAGAAGAUUCCAGCAAAUGGACUGAGAGGAAAUGGAGGGGACUAUCCAUGGGGUACAGCACCCCAGGGACCACUGGAGAACCUGACUCAGUUGAUGGAAGACCAAGAAGCCAGAUGGCAGUGGGCUGAGACACAGUUCUUGCACACAGAAAUGGGAGAUGUUAACACAUCCCACCUCAGCAGACCACUGCAAUAAUGAUGAGCAACAAUUCAAGCAAAGUACUUGCAACAAUGCCAGGCACAAGAAAAGUGCACACAGACAUCCUGUCAUCAUCCCUGGACUCCUAUGGAUCCAUAAAUACCUAUGGAUCCAGGCUGAAAAAUUCUAGUCUGAAUUCCAGAGGCUAGUCCAGGACUGGAGAAGAGCACUUGGGAGUGCCCAGAAUUGCACAAAUUGUGAGCACUAAAGACAUCCCCCAGGAAUGGGAGGGAGAAGGAAGUACAGCAGGCUGUGGCAGGAACCUGGAAGAAAGUGUGUAUUCCACAGGCAAGUGGGGCCAUCGAAGAAGGGGCCAGCAAAACACAGAAGCAGCACCCAAUAGCAUUGCGUGUGCAUUGCACACAGUAAAUUUUAACCAUAGUUGGAUCAUGUCUCAGGAACACAAA